AUCGGCUCCUGCACAUUGUAUUUCUAGUUUCAGUCCACCGCUGUUGCCCUUGCCCGAUAUAUAUCUCAAAAGUCGCAAGCCAAACAACUUAGAUAAUAUAUAUGAUACAAAGGUGAGUAGCACAAACUAAGCGUCUAAGCCAAAGAUAACACUAGCCAAUUAAGUAGUAACAAAAGACUGACAAAAUUUCCACUUCCAAGUGGUGAAUUCUAACAUAGCACCACUAAAACUUUUACAACUAUGAGAACUUCAUUUUUUUCUAUUUUUAGUUGAAUAUGAAAGAAAGUUGUAUAAAAAACAAUAUAAGUUGUACUGGUUGCUGGUGAUCUAAUCCGAGCAAUGAUGGCCGGUGACAGUCAUAUAUGACGGGCAAUAUGUUACAUACAGAAGAAGUACAGAAAUAGGUAUAAGAAUGGGCAAGUGGCACAUGAGUGAGGGGUGUUAUUAGGAGGGAAAACCUGUUAUAAGUCUGUUGAGAUAGUUAUUAGUACUUGGAGGGAAAAUUGUAAGCAGUUACGGCUGUUGGUAGUAGUUAAAGUAGUUAUGGAAUUGGAGGAAAAUCUGUUAGAGCAGUUAUGAAUUGGAG
rnacentral:misc_RNA from 1 species